AAGCUUGACGAUGAAGAGCUGGUGUCUUACAUCCUCGCUGGCCUCGACAUCGACUACAAUCCGCUUGUUUCUGCUAUGGCUGCUUGAGUGGAGCCCAUCACGGUGGGUGAACUAUAUGCGCAAAUGCUCUCGUUCGAGA